GUGUCUGUUGCACAAUGGUAGUGUGUCUGACUUCAAGUCAGAAGGUUGUGUGUUCGAAACACACCAGAUUCA